rnacentral:lncRNA from 1 species
AGGGUGCUUUGGCACUCCUCAAAUAAUUAAAACUAACCAGGUUUGUUUUAGAAAACUCAAGUUAAAAAUCAAAAAAGCCUUUAAAGUAUUUCUACAGAUUACAAUAUGUGAAACAUUACUUUAACUGCGAUCCUUACAUUCUAACCUUUAAAAGAUUUAGCCAGACAUGGUAACACAAACGAACACAACGGUGUUAAUCAUGAUGAAAAGUUUUUUUUAGAAUGUGAGGCGUAAAGAG